AAUUUAUAGCGUCUUUAAAAUAUCAUAAAAACAAGAAAUAUUACCAGAUAAUGUUAUUUUAUAUUAGUUCCGUACACAAAAAAAUAAAUAUCCAACUUAUAAUUAUGAGUUUGACGGCUUUUCUUCAUUUCAUUCUGUCAAAACAUAACGAUAUAUACAUGAAGGGCACCUACAAGGCUUCAGGGCACAGUUUUAAAUACAUGUAGCUCGAACAUAUCGGCCAUGAGGUCUAUCUCGAAGCUUUGUCGGAGGAGGCCGAGUUAUUACGAUUGUAUCGAGUUGUUCCCCUUCGCAUAAUUGUUAUCUGAGUCAGUCAACUUUCGUUUUAUUUGAAAGAUAGGACAACCUGGCAGACCCUCCCCCAUGGCGCAAGGCCAGACUAGCAGCCCCAGUGUGGAUAAGUCAUGGAAGAAGCGACUCACACAGAAUGAUAUGCAACAUGCUCAGAGGAACGUCAUGGCUUGUGGAGUAGCAGUGUUUCUGCUUUAUUUUGACUUGAACAUUUUCUUUCUGAGUGCAGUUCUGCAGAUUGGCAGUCAUCUGGUAUAUAGAGGUGUCGUUAAUUGUCGUGCUAGUAUUCAGUAUUGUCUCCGAUGUGUUCAAAUGCCUCUCGUUCUAUGUCUUCAACAACAAACUGGAAGUCACUCAGAUACAGAAGCGACUCCUUGGGGUCAAGGACAAUGCCUGUAGCCAAUUCGCAGCUCUGCUCCAUGGCAAGAAUAGCCUGGUAUUCUCCAGUAGUACUCCAUCUAGCUCUCAUACUGCUUAGUCCGUCCAGCGCCAUCUGACAAGAUGACAGACUUACAGUCCCUGUCAGUGUACCUGAAGGAGCAAGAUGAGAAAGACUACAAGGCAGCUCUCAGUUGCCAGGACAUGUCACUGAACAGUUCAUCAUUCUGGAGUAACGGCCGUCCAAGCCUGGACCUGAGCCACGUGUUCCGUAAUAACCAGUUCCAGCUCGCCAGUCAAUCCCAACAGAGCCAUAAGUCGUGGACGAAUGAUAGCGAUAAUUUGGGAGAAGAGUUGGCGAUGCACAUGUUCUGCACGUACCUGGAUUCCCGGCUUCCCCCAGACCUAAGGUAUCCUGAUUGAAAAACGUUCACCAGCCAACACCUCCUCAAGACCCCAGAUAAACCUAACCUUGGGAAGGAUAACUUACUGCUAUACCAGACCAGCAUUAACCCAUCACAUUUCCAAGUGGCCAUUAAAGACACUGUGUUCAACCUGCCUAAGGGUAGAAACAACAUGUUCCAUGCCAUCCUGUUUUUCCUGUACCACAUACAGCACAAGGAAAAUGGAAUGUUAGGGAGAGUGAAUCUUGGAAUGUCGGGGGUGCUUACGAUCAUUGGACAUUUAAGGGAGAUAACUCUUUACAUGGUUAAUGGGGAUAACUCUCGACAUGGUAUUAGUGUUUGCCUGUUUGUGUAAGGUUAUAUGGUUGCACCCACCAUCUUUUUUGACGAAUGGACCUACUGAGAUAUUGUGAAAAAGUGUAUAGAAAAGGGCGAAUUAGUUUGCCAUUAGUGAACAACAGUUUCGAAACAAGUGAAGGGAUGUAACUCCCUGGAAGAGUAUUAUUGCUCAGAGGACAAUUGAAUAACAUGACUAAAUAUGGUGGUAAUACAGCAAGAAAAACAUGGUGUGUAGAAGACAGUGAUGAACUCUGAAGGACAAACUGCAAUGUAUGGGAAGAAAUGACAGAACAGUUUAUAUUUUAAUGGAUGUGUAAGGAUGAAUAGCAUGGAAUAUAUGCAUGUAAGCACUUAAUGCAUUGAAUGUGAUGUCUUUGGUUGAAAAUGAAAAGCUUGAUUCUAGUAAAAUAAGCAAUUAUCCUAUUUCUAGUUACAAUGUACAACUUUUAUUAGUACACUGUUACGGAUGUUGUUGAACAAUUAUUGUUCAAUUACUUUCAGAAAGGAUAAGUUUAUAUUAUUAUGCAACCUUGUAUCAUAGUCAUCAUUUUGUGUUUUAUGACUGUAAUCUUGAAUAAAAUUGGGUGAUUAAACAGUAA